rnacentral:lncRNA from 1 species
UUUAAUUUUCUCCCCAUUACAGUGUGUCCAAAUAUUCCCUUUGCCUCAAUUUUGUUAGAAGCGAAAAUGAUUUCUUUCUUAGAGAUUAUUAGCUUCAACUACAAGCUGCUCCACGAUCUUGAUGGAGAUAACAGUAUUCUUCAUAGUCAUCUGCAUAAUAUGGCAAUAUUAAAAGCUGAAGAAGGGGAUGGAGAUGACGACGAUGAUGAUGGUGACUAUGACUACGCUCCGGCUGCAUAAUCAGAAGGUUUUGGUGAUGGAAAAAAUGCUUUGGUUCCAGUCGCUUAAAUAAAAUCUUAGGUGGUUUCAUGGAAACCCUAGUUUUGGUCAGAACAAACCCUAGUUUUGGGUUAUUAUAUAUAAAUGAUGUCACUAAGGUAGUAUCUGAAUUUGUAGUCUUACGUACUUGCACUGCUAUUUUAAUAUAUUAGAGGAUUACAUAAAUAAGUUUCCGAGCG